rnacentral:rRNA from 1 species
GCGGUUGAAGUUUCGAGAGCCGCGGUUAACUGCCUGACUUGGCUGCGACGGCUUUGCGUUUCUUCCUCGCUGAUCGCAUUCUUAACGAUCAGUUCCUCGGCGCGUUGCAGAUUUGAGCGGGCCAACCUCAAGCGAGCCUGGGUUUCCUCUUUCGCCGCCUGCGCAGCUUCCAAAUCGGCUUGCCGCUCCGCCUUGCGGGC